UGUUACAUGAAGGAAAAGGGCUGC
rnacentral:piRNA from 1 species